rnacentral:rRNA from 1 species
UACGUAGGGCGCAAGCGUUGUCCGGAAUUACUGGGCGUAAAGCGUGCGCAGGCGGUUUUGUAAGUCUGUCGUGAAAUCCCCGGGCUUAACCUGGGAACUGCAUUUGUGACUGCAUCGCUGGAGUGCGGCAGAGGGGAUGGAAUUCCGCGUGUAGCAGUGAAAUUCGUAGAUAUUCGCAAGAACACCAGUGGCGAAGGCGGCUCCACUGGCCCGGUACUGACGCUGAGGAGCGAAAGCGUGGGGAGCAAACAGG